AGCCAGCAGCCGCGGUAAUACGAAGGGGGCUAGCGUUGUUCGGAAUUACUGGGCGUAAAGCGUGCGCAGGCGGCCUUUCAAGUCAGGGGUGAAAGCCCAGAGCUCAACUCUGGAAUUGCCUUUGAAACUGUUUGGCUUGAGUGCGGGAGAGGUGAGUGGAAUUCCCAGUGUAGAGGUGAAAUUCGUAGAUAUUGGGAAGAACACCGGUGGCGAAGGCGGCUCACUGGCCCGUUUCUGACGCUCAUGCACGAUAGCGUGGGGAUCAAACAGGAUUAGAUACCCUGGUAGUCCACGCUGUAAACUAUGGACGCUAGCCGUUGGGUAGCUUGCUAUUCAGUGGCGCAGCUAACGCAUUAAGCGUCCCGCCUGGGGAGUACGGCCGCAAGGUUGAAACUCAAAGGAAUUGACGGGGGCCCGCACA
rnacentral:rRNA from 1 species